rnacentral:miRNA from 1 species
UGAGGUUCUUGGGGAGAGUAG